GCGCAGGCAUCCGCUCCCUCCAUUUACAACCAUUGGCAAGUAGAAAGAUUAGAUCCAGUUCCCAGCACCAGGAAUGCCUGCUUUUGAAUUGAGGGAGGGAUGGGGGAAGGGAACCGGAAACCCGAGCUUCCUGGUUUCCCUCUCCCCCUCCCCAGCCCCCAACAAAAUGUAAGAGCCCUCCCAUUCCAUUUAAAAAUAGAAACCUAGGAAGGUGUUGUGGUCGAAUGGGCAUUGAAUUUGGAGUCAGAAGACCUGAGUUCAGAUCCUGCCGCUGAUAUUUACUAGUUCUGCCUUCAGGAAAACAAAUGGGUUAACAGCUGGCACUGCCCAUGCUUGGAGAUAUCCAGAAGCCUGAAAAAAAAGGCAGCUGGCCUCAAGCUUGGGCAUACACCAAGAUGAAGGAACAGAAGCUGGAAAAGGAGAAGUGACUCCUCCCAGAGUGACAGAGGUUCCUCGACUGGUUCAUGACAGCGUGGGAACUGAGGCCAAGGGUUCUAGCCUCCCGACCAAGUGCUCCUUCUGAUGAGAAACUUCCUCUCUGCACUAAAUAACAACUCUCACUUCCUGAGAUCUCUGACUUCUGUGGAACACUUUCCCCAGAGCAGCCCCUUCCGCCACAGGAAUAAUGAACUGGUGGGAUUCCAUGUAAACUGGAACAACCUCCAGGAAGUGAUGCAGAGCGAAAGGAGCAGAACCAGGAAAACAUUGUACACAGAGACUGAUACAUUGUGGUACAAUCGAAGGUGAUGGACUUCUCUAUUAGUGUCAAUGCAGUGAUCCUGAACAAUCUGCAGGGAUCUAGGAGAAAAACAUUAUCCACAAGCAGAGGACAAACUGUGGGAGUAAAAACACCAAGGAAAAGCAACCGCUUGACUACAGGGGUUGAGGGGACAUGUCUGAGGAUCGACUCUAAAUGAACACUCUAAUGCAAAUACCAACAACAUGGAAAUGGGUUCGAAUCAAGAACACAUGUGAUACCCAGUGGAAUCGUGAGUCAGCUAUGGGAGAGGUGGGGGUGGGGGGGAGGAAAAGAAAAUGAUCUUUGUCUCCAGUGAAUAAUGUUUGGAAAUGCUCAAAUAAAAAAUAAAAAAAAAAGGACUGCCA
ensembl:lncRNA